GUGUAAACGGAAGUUCAAAUUCAGUACUGCGAUUCCUAGGGUUUAGGCCGGAGAGGACGACGGAAGAAGAUGAAGCCGGUAGUAGGAACAGUAGUGUCUAACAAGAUGCAGAAAUCAGUAGUGGUGGCAGUGGAUAGACUCUUCCACAACAAGGUUUACAAUCGAUAUGUCAAACGGACCUCCAAAUUCAUGGCUCAUGAUGACAAAGACGAAUGCAACAUCGGUGACCGCGUUAAGUUGGAUCAUUCAAGACCACUGAGCAAGCGCAAGCACUGGGUUGUAGCUGAAAUUUUGAAAAGAGCAAGAAUUUAUGUGCCUCCGCCACGAGUUACCACUGAGAGGGUCAACAAGACUCAAGUGUCUGCCCCCUAAUGCUAGUUAGAGCUGAAAGAGAAUUACUAUCUCAAUCUUUGUCUUGUGUAUCCAGAACAAAUUGCCUAUUAACUGUUAACUUUUUUGAAACAAGUACUGCUCACUGCUCAGAAACGUAGAGUUUCUACUCAACCUCCUCGAUCAGUGCAAUUAGAUUACCAUUUUAUUCCUGCACUCAA
rnacentral:misc_RNA from 1 species